rnacentral:rRNA from 1 species
AUGAACGCUGGCGGCGUGCCUAAUACAUGCAAGUCGAGCGAACAGACGAGGAGCUUGCUCCUCUGACGUUAACGGCGGACGGGUGAGUAACACGUGGAUAACCUACCUAUAAGACUGGGAUAACUUCGGGAAACCGGAGCUAAUACCGGAUAAUAUAUUGAACCGCAUGGUUCAAUAGUGAAAGACGGUUUUGCUGUCACUUAUAGAUGGAUCCGCGCCGCAUUAGCUAGUUGGUAAGGUAACGGCUUACCAAGGCAACGAUGCGUAGCCGACCUGAGAGGGUGAUCGGCCACACUGGAACUGAGACACGGUCCAGACUCCUACGGGAGGCAGCAGUAGGGAAUCUUCCGCAAUGGGCGAAAGCCUGACGGAGCAACGCCGCGUGAGUGAUGAAGGUCUUCGGAUCGUAAAACUCUGUUAUUAGGGAAGAACAAAUGUGUAAGUAACUAUGCACGUCUUGACGGUACCUAAUCAGAAAGCCACGGCUAACUACGUG